GAAACGACUGCUAAGACUGGAUAGGAAAUAAAAAGGCAUCUUUUUGUUUUUAAAAGACCUUCUUCGGAGGGUAUGCUUAAAGAGGGGCUUGCGCCACAUUAGUUAGUUGGUGAGGUAAAGGCUUACCAAGAUUAUGAUGUGUAGCUGGACUGAGAGGUUGAACAGCCACAUUGGGACUGAGACACGGCCCAAACUCCUACGGGAGGCAGCAGUAGGGAAUUUUCGGCAAUGGGAGGAAACUCUGACCCGAGCGACGCCGCGUGAAACGAUGAAGUAUUUCGGUAUGUAAAGUUCUUUUAUUGAAGAAGAAAAAAAUAGUGGAAAAACUAUCUUGACGUUAUUCAAUGAAUAAGCCCCGGCUAAACUAUGUGCCAGCAGCCGCGGUAAGACAUAGGGGGCGAGCGUUAUCCGGAAUUAUUGGGCGUAAAGGGUGCGUAGGCGGUUAGAUAAGUCUAUAAUUUAAUUUCAGUGCUUAACGCUGUCUUGUUAUAGAAACUGUCUUGACUAGAGUGAGAUAGAGGCAAGCGGAAUUCCAUGUGUAGCGGUAAAAUGUGUAAAUAUAUGGAGGAACACCAGAAGCGUAGGCGGCUUGCUGGGUCUUUACUGACGCUGAGGCACGAAAGCGUGGGGAGCAAACAGGAUUAGAUACCCUGGUAGUCCACGCUGUAAACGAUGAGUACUAAGUGUCGGGGCAACUCGGUACUGAAGUUAACACAUUAAGUACUCCGCCUGAGUAGUACGUACGCAAGUAUGAAACUUAAAGGAAUUGACGGGACUCCGCACAAGCGGUGGAUCAUGUUGUUUAAUUCGAAGAUACACGAAAAACCUUACCAGGUCUUGACAUACUCUGCGAAGCUAUAGAAAUAUAGUGGAGGUUAUCAGGGAUACAGGUGGUGCAUGGUUGUCGUCAGUUCGUGUCGUGAGAUGUUAGGUUAAGUCCUAAAACGAACGCAACCUCUGUCGUUAGUUACCAGCACGUAAUGGUGGGGACUUUAGCGAGACUGCCAAUUAAACAUUGGAGGAAGGUGGGGAUAACGUCAAAUCAUCAUGCCCCUUAUGAUCUGGGCUACAAACGUGAUACAUGGCUGUUACAAAGAGUAGCUGAAACGCGAGUUUUUAGCCAAUCUCAAAAAGACAGUCUUAGUCCGGAUUGAAGUCUGCAACUCGACUUCAUGAAGCUGGAAUCGCUAGUAAUCGCGAAUCAGCAUGUCGCGGUGAAUACGUUCUCGGGGUUUGUAC
rnacentral:rRNA from 1 species